AUAUCCAUCGAAUGGAUACCAUGUAGCUAAUCUUGCUCUAUUUUUACUUAGCUUAACAAGUUUUGUAUUUGACACCGCUAAUGUAGUAGAUAUGAAUUUCUCGAGUUACUUCUCAAAAUAGAGCUGAUUCAUAUAUACUUCAUGCAUGAAAAUCUUAUAUACAAAGUGAUUCUUGUCUGCGAGUACCGAUUCGCCAAUGAAAUUGACAUGGGUUGACAAAAUGAAUAUUAAUUUCUAGAGUUACUUUUCCAAACAAAGGUGGUUUAGAUAUGCUUGGAGAUCCCAUGUACAACUGCUUCUUUUGUCAUUCAAUAUUGCCUAGAGAAUCUAGUCUGCAAGUAUUGAUUUACCUAUGAAUUGCAAGUGACCAGGCUGUGCAGCUGAGACGACUUGUCUUGCUGGUUUACCCAAAG
rnacentral:lncRNA from 1 species